GCGGGCGUCGUAUAACGGCUAUUACCUCAGCUUCCCAAGCUGAUGACGUGGGUUCGACUCCCAUCGCCCGCUCCA
rnacentral:tRNA from 2 species